AGUGAACGCUGGCGGUAGGCCUAACACAUGCAAGUCGAACGGCAGCACAGUAAGAGCUUGCUCUUACGGGUGGCGAGUGGCGGACGGGUGAGGAAUACAUCGGAAUCUACUUUUUCGUGGGGGAUAACGUAGGGAAACUUACGCUAAUACCGCAUACGACCUACGGGUGAAAUCAGGGGAUCUUCGGACCUUGCGCGAUUGAAUGAGCCGAUGUCGGAUUAGCUAGUUGGCGGGGUAAAGGCCCACCAAGGCGACGAUCCGUAGCUGGUCUGAGAGGAUGAUCAGCCACACUGGAACUGAGACACGGUCCAGACUCCUACGGGAGGCAGCAGUGGGGAAUAUUGGACAAUGGGCGAAAGCCUGACCCAGCAAUACCGCGUGGGUGAAGAAGGCCUUCGGGUUGUAAAGCCCUUUUGUUGGGAAAGAAAAGAAGCAGGUUAAUCCCUCGAUGUCUUGACGGUACCCAAAGAAUAAGCCCCGGCUAACUUCGUG
rnacentral:rRNA from 1 species